AAAAGUUUAAUCAUGGCCAAAUGACUUUUAUUCUUCGAAAUGGACUGAAUGCUUCAUUAUAAGGUUGGACUCUUAUUUUCAUGCAUGAGUUGCAUUUCCAUUUUGGACUUUUUGGUGCAUGCCUUCGCAAUGGAAUCUCAUGGCAGCCUUGAUUCAUAUUAAAGAUGUUACUAAUUUUGCUUCUAAAUGUUGUGUUAAGGGAAGGGGUUAAUAAUGUAGAAAUAGAGUGGUGCAAUUUUUAAAGUAGUAAAUGAUAAGGGUGGAGCAAAAAAAAGAAAUGUAUUGUCUCACCAAAGAUCAAUUUUGUUGCCUGCUUAGAUUACAUGUUAAUUUUUAUUGUCUAAUCAACGCUUGUAACCCAACAGUAACAAUGAGAAAGUAAUUCAUACCAAGGUUUGUCACUACACUACUGUAACUAAGAAAACUAAUAAUCACUUUGUCAUUAGAAAUUGCUGAAAAAAUAAUAAUGAUUUACUUUGCAUUCUCAAUAAGCUAUCGUAAUAGGACUAUAGACCACCAUAGAGAACAAAAAUCAGUAUUGUCA
rnacentral:lncRNA from 1 species